AUUGAACGCUGGCGGCAGGCCUAACACAUGCAAGUCGAACGGUAACAGGAAACAGCUUGCUGUUUCGCUGACGAGUGGCGGACGGGUGAGUAAUGUCUGGGAAACUGCCUGAUGGAGGGGGAUAACUACUGGAAACGGUAGCUAAUACCGCAUAACGUCGCAAGACCAAAGAGGGGGACCUUCGGGCCUCUUGCCAUCGGAUGUGCCCAGAUGGGAUUAGCUUGUUGGUGGGGUAACGGCUCACCAAGGCGACGAUCCCUAGCUGGUCUGAGAGGAUGACCAGCCACACUGGAACUGAGACACGGUCCAGACUCCUACGGGAGGCAGCAGUGGGGAAUAUUGCACAAUGGGCGCAAGCCUGAUGCAGCCAUGCCGCGUGUAUGAAGAAGGCCUUCGGGUUGUAAAGUACUUUCAGCGGGGAGGAAGGGAGUAAAGUUAAUACCUUUACUCAUUGACGUUACCUGCAGAAGAAGCACCGGCUAACUCCGUGCCAGCAGCCGCGGUAAUACGGAGGGUGCAAGCGUUAAUCGGAAUUACUGGGCG
rnacentral:rRNA from 1 species